rnacentral:rRNA from 1 species
AAACAUAGCCAGAGGAAGAUAUUUUUGGUUUAACCUGCCCGAUGUAUUAUUAAUAUAAAUGGCCGCGGUACCCUGACCGUGCUAAGGUAGCGUAAUCAGUUGGCUUUUAAAUGGAGUCAGGUAUGAAUGGAAUAACCGGGCUUAGCUGUCUCAAAGACAUUUAAUCGAAUUUACUAUUCAAGUGAAAAAGCUUGAGUUAAAUAAAGGGACGAGAAGACCCUUAGAAUUUUAUUUAAAGUAGAUCUAAUUUUUUGCUGUGAUUUUGUUGGGGCGACAGAGAAAUAUUAAAAACUUUCUUUAAAUCAAUUAGUCGGAUUUUUCAGGUUAGGAUAAAUUACCUAAGGGAUAACAGCAUAAUUCUAUAAAUGAGUUUGUGACCUCGAUGUUGGACUAGGGAGCUAGUGGGUUAGCUGCUCACUGUGCGGAUUCUUGUUCGAAUUUUAAACUCCUACGUGAUCUGAGUUCAGACCGG